GAUGAAGAACGUAGCGAAAUGCGAUAAGUAAUGUGAAUUGCAGAAUUCAGUGAAUCAUCGAAUCUUUGAACGCAUAUUGCGCCCCUUGGUUAUUCCGGGAGGCACACCUGUUCGAGCGUCAUUGCUGCCCUCAAGCACGGCUUGUGUGUUGGGCCUCCGUCCUCCUCCCGGGGGACGGGCCCGAAAGGCAGCGGCGGCACCGCGUCCGGUCCUCGAGCGUAUGGGGCUUCGUCACCCGCUCUUGUAGGCCCGGCCGGCGCUUGCCGACACAUCAAUCUUUUUUCCAGGUUGACCUCGGAUCAGGUAGGGAUACCCGCUGAACUUAAGCAUAUCAAUAAGCGGAGGA
rnacentral:misc_RNA from 1 species